GAUGUCUAGUAGCAUGUGGUGACAAUCCAGCAGAAUAGAAUAAAUAGAACCUCUAGAUGUAGUUACCGUAUGAUUCAGUUCCUCUAUCGUGAGUCCUGACAAGAUAAAGAUUAUGAAAGCUCAUCAAAUCCCAACAUCCGUCAUAUGAAAGAUUCGAUUAGCUCAAGUCCAAAUCAUAAUAUUGAUAGAAAUUUUUUUUCAUCAAUCAUCUUGUUGUGGCUAUAGACUUAAAGAUUCAACUUCUCAAAUUUUAUAGGACUAUUUAUCUAUUA
rnacentral:lncRNA from 1 species